GCCGGGUGUGAUGGCUCAUGCCUGUAAUCCCAGCACUUUGGGAGGCUGAGAUGGGUGGAUUACUUGAGGCCAGGUGUUCUGGACCAGCCUGGCCAACAUGGCAAAUUCCUGUCUCUA
rnacentral:SRP_RNA from 1 species